rnacentral:rRNA from 1 species
GCUCCUUGCUUGCAAGGGGUACUCGAGUGGCGAACGGGUGAGUAACACGUGGGUGAUCUGCCUUGCACUUCGGGAUAAGCCUGGGAAACUGGGUCUAAUACCGGAUAGGACCAUGCUUUAGUGUGUGUGGUGGAAAGUUUUUUCGGUGCAAGAUGAGCCCGCGGCCUAUCAGCUUGUUGGUGGGGUAAUGGCCUACCAAGGCGACGACGGGUAGCCGGCCUGAGAGGGUGUACGGCCACAUUGGGACUGAGACACGGCCCAGACUCCUACGGGAGGCAGCAGUGGGGAAUAUUGCACAAUGGGCGCAAGCCUGAUGCAGCGACGCCGCGUGGGGGAUGACGGCCUUCGGGUUGUAAACUCCUUUCGCUAGGGAAGAAGCCACUUGUGGUGACGGUACCUGGAUAAGAAGCACCGGCUAACUACGUGCCAGCAGCCGCGGUAAUACGUAGGGUGCGAGCGUUGUCCGGAAUUACUGGGCGUAAAGAGCUCGUAGGUGGUUUGUCGCGUCGUCUGUGAAAUCCCGGGGCUUAACUUCGGGCGUGCAGGCGAUACGGGCAUAACUAGAGUGCUGUAGGGGAGACUGGAAUUCCUGGUGUAGCGGUGAAAUGCGCAGAUAUCAGGAGGAACACCGAUGGCGAAGGCAGGUCUCUGGGCAGUUACUGACGCUGAGGAGCGAAAGCAUGGGUAGCGAACAGGAUUAGAUACCCUGGUAGUCCAUGCCGUAAACGGUGGGCGCUAGGUGUGGGGGUUUUAUUUACGAUUCCCGUGCCGUAGCUAACGCAUUAAGCGCCCCGCCUGGGGAGUACGCCGCAAGGCUA